rnacentral:rRNA from 1 species
GACGAACGCUGGCGGCGUGCUUAACACAUGCAAGUCGAACGGAAAGGCCCUGCUUUUGUGGGGUGCUCGAGUGGCGAACGGGUGAGUAUCACGUGAGUAACCUGCCCUUGACUUUGUGAUAACUUCAGGAAACUGCGGCUCAUACCGGAUAGGAGCUCCUGCAGCAUGGUGGGGGUUGGAAAGUUUCGGCGGUUGUGGCUCGACUCGCGGCUAAUGAGCUUGUUGGUGGGGUAGUGGCUUACCAAGGCUUUGACGGGUAGCCGGCCUGAGAGGGUUACCGGGGUCAAGGGGACUAAGAGACGGAGCAGACGGCUACGGGACGCAGUAGUCGGGAAUAUUGCGGAAUGGGCGGAAGCCUGAUGCAGCGACCCCGCGUGCGGAAUGACGGCCUACGGGGUGUGAACCGCUGUCUCAGUUGACGAAGAGUGAGUGACGGUAAUGGGUAAGAAAGCAACGGCUAACUACGUG